GUAGGUGGCAAGCGUUGUCCGGAAUUAUUGGGCGUAAAGCGCGCGCAGGCGGUCCUUUAAGUCUGAUGUGAAAGCCCACGGCUCAACCGUGGAGGGUCAUUGGAAACUGGGGGACUUGAGUACAGAAGAGGAAAGCGGAAUUCCAAGUGUAGCGGUGAAAUGCGUAGAGAUUUGGAGGAACACCAGUGGCGAAGGCGGCUUUCUGGUCUGUAACUGACGCUGAGGCGCGAAAGCGUGGGGAGCAAACAGGAUUAGAUACCCUGGUAGUCCACGCCGUAAACGAUGAGUGCUAAGUGUUAGGGGGUUUCCGCCCCCUUAGUGCUGCAGCUAACGCAUUAAGCACUCCGCCUGGGGAUACGGCCGCAAGGCUG
rnacentral:rRNA from 1 species